rnacentral:rRNA from 1 species
CUUGUGCUACUAGAGCGGCCGAUGGCAAAUUAGGUAAUUGGUGGGAUAAAAGCUUACCAAGCCAACGAUCUGUAUCUGGUCUGAAAGGACGAUCAACCCCACUGGGACUGAGACACGGCCCAUACUCCUACGGGAGGCAGCAGUGGGGAAUUUUGGACAAUGGGCGAAAGCCUGAUCCUGCAAUGCCGCGUGCAUGAUGAAGGCCUUCGGGUUGUAAACUGCUUUUGUACGGAACGAAAAACUUUGGGUUAAUACCCUGGAGUCAUGACGGUACCGUAAAAAUAAGCACCGGCUAACUACGUGCCAGCAGCCGCGGUAAUACUUAAGGUGCAAGCGUUAAUCGGAAUUACUGGGCGUAAAGCGUGCGCAUGCGGUUUUGUAAUACAGAGGUGAAAUCCCCGGGCUCAACCUGGGAACUGCCUUUGUGACUGCAAGGCUAGAGUACGGCAGAGGGGGAUGGAAUUCCGCGUGUAGCACUGAAAUGCGUAGAUAUGCGGAGGAACACCGAUGGCGAAGCGAUCCCCUGGGCCUGUACUGACCUCAUGCACGAAAGCGUGGGGAGCAAACAGGGAUUAGAUACCCUGGUAGUCCACGCCCUAA